rnacentral:rRNA from 1 species
UACGUAGGGGGCAAGCGUUGUCCGGAAUCAUUGGGCGUAAAGCGCGUGUAGGCGGUUCGGUAAGUCGGCUGUGAAAGUCCAGGGCUCAACCCUGGGAUGCCGGUCGAUACUGCCGGACUAGAGUUCGGAAGAGGCGAGUGGAAUUCCCGGUGUAGCGGUGAAAUGCGCAGAUGUCGGGAGGAACACCAAUGGCGAAGGCAGCUCGCUGGGACGUUACUGACGCUGAGACGCGAAAGCGUGGGGAGCAAACAGG